AUUGAACGCUGGCGGCAUGCCUUACACAUGCAAGUCGAACGGUAACGCGGGGCAACCUGGCGACGAGUGGCGAACGGGUGAGUAAUGCAUCGGAACGUGCCUGGUAGUGGGGGAUAACUGCUCGAAAGAGCAGCUAAUACCGCAUACGACCUGAGGGUGAAAGGGGGGGAUCGCAAGACCUCUCGCUAUCAGAGCGGCCGAUGUCGGAGUUAGCUAGUUGGUGGGGUAAAGGCCCACCAAGGCGACGAUCCGCAGCUGGUCUGAGAGGACGACCAGCCACACUGGGACUGAGACACGGCCCAGACUCCUACGGGAGGCAGCAGUGGGGAAUUUUGGACAAUGGACGCAAGUCUGAUCCAGCCAUGCCGCGUGCGGGAAGAAGGCCUUCGGGUUGUAAACCGCUUUUGUCAGGGAAGAAAUCUUCUGGACUAAUACUCUGGGAGGAUGACGGUACCUGAAGAAUAAGCACCGGCUAACUACGUGCCAGCAGCCGCCGUAACAC
rnacentral:rRNA from 1 species